GACGAACGCUGGCGGCGUGCCUAAUACAUGCAAGUAGAACGCUGAAGGAGGAGCUUGCUUCUCUGGAUGAGUUGCGAACGGGUGAGUAACGCGUAGGUAACCUGCCUGGUAGCGGGGGAUAACUAUUGGAAACGAUAGCUAAUACCGCAUAAUAGUAGAUGUUGCAUGACAUUUGCUUAAAAGGUGCAAUUGCAUCACUACCAGAUGGACCUGCGUUGUAUUAGCUAGUUGGUGAGGUAACGGCUCACCAAGGCGACGAUACAUAGCCGACCUGAGAGGGUGAUCGGCCACACUGGGACUGAGACACGGCCCAGACUCCUACGGGAGGCAGCAGUAGGGAAUCUUCGGCAAUGGACGGAAGUCUGACCGAGCAACGCCGCGGGAGUGAAGAAGGUUUUCGGAUCGUAAAGCUCGGUUGUAAGAGAAGAACGAGUGUGAGAGUGGAAAGUUCACACUGUGACGGUAUCUUAACAGAAAGGGACGGCUAACUACGUG
rnacentral:rRNA from 1 species